GUAUUAUUUCAUACAAAAUUUUGGGACACAUUUUUUCAUGUAUGAGGCUUGAAUGUACAAAUGAUUCUGAGUAAAAUGCACCCAAGAAGUCAAUAUUUUGAAGACAUGAAUGAAAUGUACAUUUUUUUUUUAUAAAACGCUCAUUUCACACUAAGCUAACUAGAACCGCUGUAAUUUACUGUAUUCCUAAACUGCGUUGUGCUUGCUUCCUCUAAACUAAGUACCUAUAUAUAUUUAUACGAUAAUUGUGAAUUGAACAUGUGUCCGUCUUGCAAUUGUAAAUGUGCUAACGUGUCAAUUAUUUCUGUGUUGUGUGCUGCACUGUCACUUUAUAUUUAUAUGCUAAAUCGCACUCAAGUAUAUAUUAUAUGAUUUGUAUGUUAUACCAAAGUGCUUUUGGAAGUUGAUAAAAAGCUGCAAAAAUAAUUGUUCAUAUUAAUGUGUAUUGUAAGCAUAAAUUACAUAAACACACACUCCCAUACAAAUUGGCACACAAAGACAAUUUACGAUGUUGUAACCGAAAUACACAUAGGUAUUAUUGCUACGUGUAAGCCGUUUUGAAUUUACUUUCUCAUUGUCACAUUGCAACUGGUCACACUAAAUGUAUUGGCGCCUAGCCAAGGUGACAAUCGUAAAGUGUAAUUCUAUAGAACUUGCUAACUAUGUAAACAAACCGCCAUAUUGAAACUGUCACUGAAUGAUGAUUUCAGUAUGGCGGUUUGUGUACAUAGUUAGCAAGUUCCAUAGAAUGACACUUUACAUCGACAAACGCCGAUCGAAAAGAAAAAAUGUAUCGGGAUGACUGAUGGAACGAAUAGUCACUUAAUCAUUUCCAUACAUUAUUUUUCGAGUUUUCUAUCAAUGAUUGUCACUCGGAUAAUUCCCUGUAUCAAUUAUUUAUUUUUGAAACUUUAAUAACGCUGCCUUGUCUAUAAAUUUGAGUGAAGUUUAGCCUGUGUGUCUGCAUUGAAUCACGCAACUUAGACUUACAGAUCUUCCUCUAAUUUAACUUAAAAGUAGUGUGAUGAACACGGGUCAAGAUGGACGUAUUCGAUAGUAUUUUUAGUAGAUUACGAUUGACGAGGCAUUUUUGAUGGUUGAUAUUGUGCAUGUAUUUUUAUAGACUUGUCAGUUGCAUAUUGACCUUGUGAUCGUGUUAUCGUGAAUCCUGUUACAGUACGAAAUUAUGAUAAUUCAGUAUGAAACUUAGGUAACGUUGUUAUGCAUAUCCAAUUAAAGUAUUUCAAUGUACAGCAGACCUGUCUAUGUCGCAAACCAAUAUUUUUAAUCGCAAUCCAUUUGAAAAUGGCUUCUCUAAAUUGUAAUAUCUAUCGAUAUUUAUGACGAUACGUAUUCAAUAAUAUCGACUGUAAAUAUUUUGUUUCUAUUUGCAAUUAUAUGCGAAUCCCAAUUUUAGCCACUUGAUUCAAAUUGUCAAGAAAAUGUACUAUUUGUAGUAAAAUCAUCAGCAAAUAACGCCAAACCUCCAGAUGUAUAAGUAAAAGUGUAUAGAUCUAAGGGUUUUAUUAGUGUAGCCGUUUGAACGCUAGCGUAGAGGCACUUAGGUAGAGAGCGAGAGUCAAGACUGGGGUGCGAGGUGUGACGAGGCCGGUUCCUAAUAAGAAAAAAUAAUGCUUUAUCGGUAGGUUUACUCGAAUGCCACGCUGGUACCAAAAAACGGCGGGAGGAGUGAAAAAGCUUCUUAUAUAGCUUGAGUUUCAACUUCAGCACCCAAAAUCUGUUGUCAUAGUCGCCUGGACUAAUCGUCUAUCAUUAUUUUUCCAACUCAUGACAGAAGUAAAAUGAUGCGUUGUGCCAAGUGUGGCAUUAGCUUUGUUCAAUAUUAAUUUUACUACUUAAUAAUUCAUUUUAUUAGUAGUCCAAAGACGAGUAGGUACAUACCUACCUAAUAAUACAACAAUCGUUAGCACAUGAGAUGAUGUUUUUUCUUUAUUUACAUUGGAAAAAAGUAACAAUGCUUUAAAAAAACUGAUUAAAUCGGGGGUUUAUUUUCAUAAACUGGCAGGUUAUUAAUACCUAUCUAGUUCAUUUUUACGCGACUUUCCAGCAGCUACAGUAUUUUUGUUAAUAAUUGUCAUCGGCUCUAUAUGUAGGUGCGUUACUGCGGCUUCGCACGCCCUCAAAUGUUUUGGAGAGAAACAGUCAAUGUGCCUACGAUGUACAUACAUUUUAUAAGGCCUAGACGGGGCUUUCGCGGCAGUCGCUAAGUAGUACAUAGCUGUAAGCAUGGCAUUAGGUACAGUUGCCGUUCCGAUAUAUCUGAUGGCGACUAUUAGGGUAUAUGUGGUAUGUUUGCCGCGCAAGCCUUGUGUAUAUCAGUACCUACAUUAAUUUUAAUCAUGUAAGUAGUGUAAUUUGGAUUAUGCCAUCUAAACAGAAUCAAGCUUUUUAUUUCACUAAACUAUUUUCAAUAUAAAACGCUUAUUUUCACCGCUUGAAGCUUUGCAAAAAGGACAGGUGAUAUAUUCGUAGUAAUAGAAUAGAGGUAGAGAGAGUAUAGCUUUAUUUGUUAAGUUUCACAAGGUGUAGGUACCUAAGUGAAAACUAAGUAGUUAAAACAUAAAACAUGACUAAAAUUAAUAUGUACCUAAUAUUUACGAAUUGGUCUGGUCUACCUACCUCUUUUCUAUUUGACUACCAUCGUAUGCCUGGGUGCCUAUAGCCAAGGUGAAAAUCGCUUGCGCUACGCGGCUACGACAACGAAACAAUCUAUCACUCUUCCAUAUUAGUGCGACAAUGGCAGUUGCGUUUCGUUCGCUACGGAGCGUUAGCGAUUGGCAUGUUGGCUACGCACCCUGAUUAUAUUUUUUUCUUUCUCGAUCUCGAUAUUGGACCACUUUUGAACAAUGGACUAAGAGACCUGACAUAAACAAAUCUACGCGUACGCGAUGACGGCAUUAUAGUAUAUUUUAAGGAGAACCUUGGCCGCUCCGGUAUAAUUAUCUGAUGGAGACUAGAUGUAAAUAUAAUGUUUUGACAUGUUCAAAAGUGGUAAAAUUUUCCGGACAAAAUACCCAUAGUUGGAAGCAUGAGGAGUUGCCAAUGCGAAUUCAUGUUGUUCUGCCUCUUAUCCGUAAAAUAUGUGCACAGACAUAUGUGCUUUCGACGGUUAUUUCAUGCUGAUAUAUGAAAGGAUUUACUUUUAAGCCGCCUUCAAAUACUGGUUAUUUAAAAUUGUGAUUACACUUUAACCCUUUGAACGCUUUAUGUCAUAAACUAAAACGACCCUCACACCUCAAGGUCCCGAGCGCAAGCGAGCUAAUGUAAACCAUACUUGGAUGUGUGAAGGUUACUUUGACAGCGUACGCCAUAACACUUAGUUGUCCUUGGCGCUGUGGGCACCACUAGUUACGACGCCUUUAGGUGUUCUUGGCGUUCAAAAGGUUAUAAGACCUCAAUUUAUUUGAAUGCUACUUAAAACUCGCUAUUAUUUACUUUAUAUUAAAGUAUUAUCUUAGGCUAAGGUCGCCUUUUCGUCUGGAAGCACGUCCAUGAUAUAGGCAGCGAACGUUAUCUUUACUUUGCUGUUAAUAUUGUCAUAGUGAAAAGGGAAAAGUCGUCCAAUUAUUGACGGAAAGCAUUUUUUCGUAGAUCCUCAGUGAUAUUGUUGAGGAUACUUUUUAGGAACUUUGCUGCUUGUACCUGAUGACUCUUUUUACUAUGACGCAUGCCGGUUGCUUCAUGUAAUUGAACAUCGGUCUAGAAUACCAAAUUUAUAAUUGGCAAUAUUUUUUAUAUCAUAAGUAAGUAUAAGACUAGGUUAGUGAAACGGGGACGAUCCCACUUCUGAUACUCGUGAACUGUUUAGAAGCUACGGCU